rnacentral:rRNA from 1 species
UACGAAGGGGGCUAGCGUUGUUCGGAAUUACUGGGCGUAAAGCGCGCGCAGGCGGUCCUUCAAGUCAGAGGUGAAAGCCCAGAGCUCAACUCUGGAAUGGCCUUUGAGACUAGAGGACUUGGGUACGGGAGAGGUGAGUGGAAUUCCGAGUGUAGAGGUGAAAUUCGUAGAUAUUCGGAAGAACACCAGUGGCGAAGGCGGCUCACUGGCCCGUUACCGACGCUCAGGCGCGACAGCGUGGGGAGCAAACAGGG